UACGGGGGGAGCAAGCGUUGUUCGGAUUUACUGGGCGUAAAGGGCGCGUAGGCGGUCAGCACAAGUCAGUUGUGAAAUCUCCGGGCUUAACCCGGAAAGGUCAACUGAUACUGUGCGACUAGAGUGCGGAAGGGGCAACUGGAAUUCUCGGUGUAGCGGUGAAAUGCGCAGAUAUCGGGAGGAACACCGGUGGCGAAGGCGGUUCUCUGGGCCUGACCUGACGCUGAGGAGCGAAAGCGUGGGGAGCGAACAGG
rnacentral:rRNA from 1 species